CUUGACAUCCAGCGAAUUCGGUAGNGAUACCUUAGUGCCUUCGGGAACGCUGAGACAGGUGCUGCAUGGCUGUCGUCAGCUCGUGUUGUGAAAUGUUGGGUUAAGUCCCGCAACGAGCGCAACCCUUAUCCUUUGUUGCCAGCGGUCCGGCCGGGAACUCAAAGGAGACUGCCAGUGAUAAACUGGAGGGAAGGUGGGGAUGACGUCAAGUCAUCAUGGCCCUUACGAGUAGGGCUACACACGUGCUACAAUGGCGCAUACAAAGAGAAGCGACCUCGCGAGAGCAAGCGGACCUCAUAAAGUGCGUCGUAGUCCGGAUUGGAGUCUGCAACUCGACUCCAUGAAGUCGGAAUCGCUAGUAAUCGUAGAUCAGAAUGCUACGGUGAAUACGUUCCCGGGCCUUGUACACACCGCCCGUCACACCAUGGGAGUGGGUUGCAAAAGAAGUAGGUAGCUUAACCUUCGGGAGGGCGCUUACCACUUUGUGAUUCAUGACUGGGGUGAAGUCGUAACAAGGUAAGCGUACGUGU
rnacentral:rRNA from 1 species